rnacentral:rRNA from 1 species
GAUGAACGCUGGCGGCGUGCCUAAUACAUGCAAGUCGAGCGAACAGACGAGGAGCUUGCUCCUCUGACGUUAGCGGCGGACGGGUGAGUAACACGUGGAUAACCUACCUAUAAGACUGGGAUAACUUCGGGAAACCGGAGCUAAUACCGGAUAAUAUAUUGAACCGCAUGGUUCAAUAGUGAAAGACGGUUUUGCUGUCACUUAUAGAUGGAUCCGCGCCGCAUUAGCUAGUUGGUAAGGUAACGGCUUACCAAGGCGACGAUGCGUAGCCGACCUGAGAGGGUGAUCGGCCACACUGGAACUGAGACACGUUCCAGACUCCUACGGGAGGCAGCAGUAGGGAAUCUUCCGCAAUGGGCGAAAGCCUGACGGAGCAACGCCGCGUGAGUGAUGAAGGUCUUCGGAUCGUAAAACUCUGUUAUUAGGGAAGAACAAAUGUGUAAGUAACUAUGCACGUCUUGACGGUACCUAAUCAGAAAGCCACGGCUAACUACGU